rnacentral:rRNA from 1 species
UACGGAGGGGGCUAGCGUUGUUCGGAAUUACUGGGCGUAAAGCGCACGUAGGCGGCUUUGUAAGUUAGAGGUGAAAGCCCGGGGCUCAACUCCGGAAUUGCCUUUAAGACUGCAUCGCUAGAAUUGUGGAGAGGUGAGUGGAAUUCCGAGUGUAGAGGUGAAAUUCGUAGAUAUUCGGAAGAACACCAGUGGCGAAGGCGACUCACUGGACACAUAUUGACGCUGAGGUGCGAAAGCGUGGGGAGCAAACAGGG